rnacentral:rRNA from 1 species
GUUGGAAUUGCUAGUAAUCGUGGAUCAGCAUGCCACGGUGAAUACGUUCCCGGGUCUUGUACACACCGCCCGUCACACCAUGGGAGCUGGUAACACCCGAAGUCAGUAGUCUAACCGCAAGGAGGACGCUGCCGAAGGUGGGAUUAGCGACUGGGGUGAAGUCGUAACAAGGUACC